CCUACGGGUGGCUGCAGUGGGGGAUAUUGCACAAUGGGGGAUACCCUGAUGCAGCGACGCCGCGUGAGUGAAGAAGUAUUUCGGGAUGUAAAGCUCUUUCAGCAGGGAAGUAAAUGACAGUAUCUGACCUAGAAGCCCCGGCUAACUACGUGCCAGCAGCCGCGGUAAUACGGAGGGUGCAAGCGUUAUCCGGAUUUACUGGGUGUAAAGGGAGCGUAGACGGUUAUGUAAGUCUGGAGUGAAAGCCCGGGGCCCAACCCCGGGAUUGCAUUGGAAACUGUGUAACUGGAGUACAGGAGGGGUAGGCGGAAUUCGUGGUGUAGCGGUGAAAUGCGUAGAUAUCAGGAGGAACACCGGCGGCGAAGGCGGCCUGCUGGACUGAAACUGACGUUGAUGCUCGAAAGCGUGGGGAGCAAACAGGAUUAGAUACCCGAGUAGUC
rnacentral:rRNA from 1 species